CUUAGAGAGGGCAAACAGUCCUUCCAGACACGUCACCGGCCUAGGACUGAUUUCAUUCUCUUGCUGGGAAGGGCUGAUAACAUCUUGCGAUUAAAUUUGCGUGUUAGCACAGCCUUUACAAAGAACUGAAAUGUGCCACUGAGUGUCAUUUAGACUCAGUCAAGCUGGAUUUUAUAAAGAAGAAUGUGUUGGAGGAGAGCAAUAUGGCUGUGAGUGUCAUGUCACCAUCAAACAACACUGGAGCCUAACCGUCACAUCCCCAGUUUCCAGAGAUGAGGACAUGGACUUAUCUUUUGGGAGCCACCAUUCAACUCACUACAAUGUCCUAGAAGACUUCUGAAGCUAUAUAAUGGAUUCCAGGGAUGAUAUAACACACAACUAUAAAUCAAGCAUGGCUGAUGAGCGGAGUUUGUCCACAGCCAGGAUCCAAACCCAAGAACCCUGGUCGCCGAAGCAGAGUGCAUGGAACUGUAACCAUUCAGCCACAGGCCUGGCCCCUGAUAUAAUCUUUUGACAAAGUCACACACAGCUAAAUAACACACUUGUCUCAGCCAUAAUCUCAGAGUUCCAGCAACCUCUUUGAAUUACCAAUUAUAUUCAUUAUGUGACAUGUAAUUUAAUAAAUAGAGACUCUCUCUUUAGUAUUCGUUAUCUUGUUCAUAGUGCUACUCUCUCAGAUUAUGCUUUUAUUUAAAUAAUACCAAUUAAACUUUUAAAAAUUCAGUACUGUGAUAAAUUUUAAACAAUCCAUAUAAUAAUACAAAUUAAUAAGCCAAUAUUAAAAUGUAUCCCCAUUGUUAUCUAAAUUGUUUCAAAUUUUUAUAAAUUCAGUAUCUCUAUUAUUGACUGAGUCAUGAAAUAAUUUAUUGAAAUAUUUAAUAAGCUUAAUUUUUUUGUUUUCUCCCACUUCAGUGAACAUAGUUUAGCAAAUUUAUUUGGACAAUUUUCAGGAUUCAAUAAAUUAUAAAGUUUUGUUCUUCAGUUAUCAAAACAACAAUUGCAUUUCAUAUAGUUAGUGGACACUCUGCUAAUGUCUAUUAAAAUGAUAUUUUAUUUUGCUUUAUUUUAAAUAAUAGGAUUUUUUUUACAUUACUAUGAUAUCACUUGCUUCACUUUCACAUUUUCCUUUACUUAAUUUUAUAUGUUCAGCCAUUUCUACAUUUGUUUAUUGCUGUCAGCUUUGGUAGCUGGGUAUAUUUUUGUUGUAAAGCUAAAGACUCUAUUGAAUCUCUAUUAGACUAUCAGUUACUGAAGCCAAGUCUCUAUAAAUAUUUCAUUUUACAAUUAUUUAAAUACCCCAUUUCACAAUUUUUAUUAAAUGCCUAGACAAGGUUUUUAUAGUGUUGGCAUCAAACACUGUCUGUUGAAGUCGAAAUAUUCUUCCAAUUUCCAUUAUUUUACUCUAAGAUCUUAGGAUACAUUUUGAUUUGACUUGAUAAGACACAAUUUGAUCCUCACUAAAAUUUGUUUGAUGUAUGGAAGUAAAUAAAAGUUUAUCAAGAAAAUAUUUAAAGUGAUGUCCAUCAUCUGGGGAUAAUUGAGUACAAGGACCGACACAGUGCUGAAUUAAAACAUCUGGACUUUUUUCUAGAGUUUUUCCUGGAACUCUCAACUUUCUCCCAGCAUUCCUCUAACAUCAUCUGUAUAAAAUUCAAAGAGAUUUUCAUCUAUCUCAUCAAAACUAUUUUUCAAGAAAUAAUAAAAUUAGAUGUUAUGUUAGCUGUUGUUCUUUCUAGCUCUGAGAUCAACAAAAGUACUAAACUAUAUGUUAAAUCAUAAACUUCAGAUUUUAAGUAAAUUUUUAAAACAUUUUUAUGUGAGACAGUUGAAGCUUCAUUAAUAAUUUAAAAUUUUGAAAUUCAAUUGCCUUGAUCUAUGUUUUCUGAAAAAUGUUACCUCAUUUCUGUUUUAUACCCGGAGGGACCAUAAAUCUAGACUGCGAUCUUAUACUCAUUUUGAUACUAUUUGUUUCUUGAAGGUCUAUUAAAUCAUUUAUGUCUGAAAAUGCUUGAUUGUUUCUAACUACGGUAUUAAAA
rnacentral:lncRNA from 1 species